rnacentral:lncRNA from 1 species
CCACCCUGUGUCCAAGUGUUCUCAUUGUUCAAUUCCCUUUAUGAGAGGUUAUCUACACUAUGAGAGCACCUUAGUAUGCAAGAGUCAAACACUGGUCAUCAUGGCGGUUUUGCUUCAAGAUGGUGUCACUCUUGCCACACAAAAGUGUUUCCCACGUGAGAAGCCAGCACCACCACCUUCAUCAAUAUCACCAUGACUUUCAUCGUCAUCACCAUUACAACCACCAUCAUUAAUAUCACCAUCACCUUCACGUAACUACCUCCACAACCACCAUUCUCAAUAUCACCAUCACCUUCAUUACCACCACUACAACCACCAUCAAUAUCACCAUCACCUUCAUCAUCACCACCACCACAACCACCAUCAAUAUCACCAUCACCUUCAUCACCACCACCAUCAUCAUCAAUAUCACUAUCACUUUCAUCAUCACCACCAGCACCACAACCACCAUCAAUAUCACCAUUACCUUCAUCAUCACCAUCACCUUCAUCACCACAACCACCAUCUCACAAUCACUUUCAUCAUCACCACCACCAUAACCAUCGUCAAUAUCACCAUCACCUUCAUCAUCACCACAACCACCAUCAACCAUAUCACCAUCACUUUCAUCAUCACCACCACCACAACCACCAUCAAUACCACCUUCAUCAUCACCACCACCACAAAUCACCAUCAUAUCACCCUCACUUUCAUCAUUACCACAAUCACCAUCAAUAUCACCAUCCCCUUCACCAUCACUACCAACACAGCCACCAUCAUCAAUAUCACCCUCAACUUUAUUAUCACCUCCACCAUCAGCAGCAGCAUCAACUUCAUCAUCACCAUCACCACCUCUGCCAUCAGCAGCAUCAUUAUUAUCUUCAUCAUCAUGGUUUCAGCCACAAUCGGAAUCAACAGCCGUCACCCAGAGUUGAAGGAGGUGUCACCCACUCAGAGAACACCCCUGACCUUCCCAAGGAAGCCCUCUGCACUCCGACGCCAUAUACCCGUGAUCUGCACAGGACUGUCACCAUCUGGAAUUGAUUGCCUCUCUUCCCGUUUUGCUAUUGUCAUUUGCACCCACAGGAAUGUCACCCACAUGAGUGUGGAAUUUCAUCUGUCUGUUCGCUGCUGGAUCCCUGCUCUAAGUAAGAAAAGGACCUGUGGCAGAGUGAGCUCUGGAUGAGGAUUUGCUGAGGAAUUGAAUGAGGGAAAGACUCAGAGAAUGGAAUGCUGAGAAUUCUACAAUAAAUAUUUGAAUCCUAGAGUGUUGGAGUCAGGAGAAGCCCUCGGAAGCCAUCUAGACAAACCCAUUCAUUUGCAAAGGGGUAAACUGAGGCUGAGGAGAAAAAAGUGACUUGCUCCACAUCCCAAGGCCUGAGGGUCUUCUCCCUGCUCUGAUGGGAGAGGGACCCCCUUUGUGCUGUUGUGGGUAAAAUGGUGAUGUGUGGCUGGAGGGUGAAGGGGCUUCUUCUGCCCUUUGACUCAUUGCCUAGGAAAAUAGGGACAAAAGGCGCAAAUUUUUUCAAAAUGCAAACAACUAAAGACAACGUCAUUCAGUAGAGACAAAGUGGGUGUUUGGGUUGACAGAGAAACAGAAAAGCUUCCCUGAGGUUGAGGAGGGAAGAGGGGGCUUGAAGGUGGGUGAGCCCCAAAUGUGACCUUCAACUCCUGGGAAGCUGUAGGCAAGGACAUAGCCAAGGCAAAACCAUCAAGAAUGUAAUUCACCAACAGAAACAUUCACUGACCACCCUCGGGGCCUGAAGGUCUUUCCAAAGCCUUGCUGCUGAGCACAUGAUGAACUUCAAACAAUAGCGAAGUCAGGAGCCAGGCGCUGAUGACCCCCAGGAGGAAGCUUGCAGAGGAUGAUGGGACAGAGGGGGAUGGGCAGGAGUCUAAGCAGGCGCUCAGGGAGGCCGCUUUCGUCAAGGAUGCUGAAAGAAUGGGGGUCUCAUGGAUUCUGGGAGAGAUGGUCCAAGGCAGAGGGACAGCCAGUGUGGGCCUGGAAAGAUGUGUGCCGCAUGUCUGAGGGGCAGGGGCCAAUGUGGCUGGAGGUAGAUGGGAGAGGAGGACACUAGGGGCUGAGGUCAGAGGGGACACAACUGGAUCUGUGCGAGACCUUGCAUGCCACUGAAAGGGCGCUGGCUGUCACUGUCGUGACCAGAGCCUCUGGGCAGGUCUUCACAGAGGUCAGGCUGACUGCACUUGCGGAUGGAUUGAAUAGCAGUAGUUAGAGGACAGCAUGCAUGGCUCAGGGAGGAUUCCCAGGAUUUGGGAUGCACAGCUGGAAGAAGGGAGGAGCUCCUGAAUGAGGAGUGGGAGGUCCGGGAAGGGCAGCCUUGGUGGGGAGAGACGCCGGGACCUGCAGAGAAACUCCCUGAAAAGAACAGGGCUGAGCCAUCUUUACCCCAGGCUCAGGACCUUCCUUCGCUGUAACUGCCAGGACAAUCCACUGUGCUGUCACUCAGAGAGCGAAACCAGCCUGACUUUGCACCUGUGUCUCCAAGGGAUAAAGGUCAAUGUCACAGCAGACUCCACUCUGAUGCUGUCUUCAAGCCAAAACCUUAAUAUUCAAUGAGAA